AUAUUAGAGUACAUAGGGAUUGGAAACGGGCCGUAGCAACAGGAAAAUGCUAGUUGAUAGUACCGUAAAUAAUUUCUCUAAAUACUCGUAUGUAAUAUUAAAAUGGCUGAAAGUUGAAAAAGGUAACCCUUCAAUAAUGUUGAGAGACAUUCUUUCUGUUUGCCCAAGCUGUCUGCUGUAGCAAUGUAUCUGUUUGCAGUUUAAAUUCAGUGUUUUAUGAAUUGUUGAUCACAUUUACUAUAUUUAGUUCUAUAUUUUGAUUUGUACAACCUAUUGAUAGAAAUGGUGUUGGCGACCUCCGGUGUGUUCUAAGCAAUACGAUGGUGUGAUAGUUAAUGUCACAGACCCUUUGGUUUUUAUGUUAAGGAAAGAUGCAAUCAUAUUUCCAAACGAAACAUAGUGGGCGACCUCCACAUUAUGAAUCUCUAUUGAGUGGGUGAAUCAGUUAUUGUCUUCUGUCUAACACUACUGAGAUAAGGGUACAAAACAAAAUGUCAUUCUAAGCAUUCUCAUUCCAGAGCAAAUAUUCAGUGCAAAUGAUGAUGCUAGCAACAUAAAAAUUAGUCUGGGGAUAGAUGCUAGUCUCUUCUGCUUCCUUUGAUAUAAAUAAUGACGUAUAGUGACACCACUGCUGGAAUGACAGGUCUCAAAAAGACAGCUCUCGCUCAAAGACAGUCUCCGUUGCUAGGCGUUGCUAGAUGCAAAUGUCAACUAGCAUCCGUAUCCUAGCGAUGUAUACGGAGAUACCCCGUUUCCAAUCCCUCUGUACUCUAAU